UGAUUUAAAGUCUGAUCUGCCCCCUGAAUAAUUAAAUGGCCGCAGUAUUUUAACUGUGCAAAGGUAGCAUAAUCAUUAGUCUCUUAAUUGGAGGCUUGUAUGAAUGGUUGGACGAAAUAUAUGCUGUUUCAUUGAAAUUAAAUUUGAAUUUUAUUUUUUAGUUAAAAAGCUAAAAUGAAGAUAAAAGACGAGAAGACCCUAUAGAUCUUUAUAACUGUUCAUUAGUGGUUUUUAAGAUUAUUUUUGCUAUUAUUUGAGUAGUUAUUUUGUUGGGGUGACAUUAAAAUUUAUUUAACUUUUAGAAAUUUUUAACAUUUAUUUAUGAUUAUAAACAUUAUGAUCCAGUUUUAUUGAUUAUUAAGUUAAGUUACCUUAGGGAUAACAGCGUAAUUUUUUUUGAGAGUUCAUAUCGAAAAAAGAGAUUGCGACCUCGAUGUUGGAUUAAGAGAGAAUCUAGGUGCAGAGGGUUAGAUUUUCGUGUCUGUUCGA
rnacentral:rRNA from 1 species